rnacentral:rRNA from 1 species
AGUGAACGCUGGCGGUAGGCCUAACACAUGCAAGUCGAACGGCAGCACAGUAAGAGCUUGCUCUUACGGGUGGCGAGUGGCGGACGGGUGCGGAAUACAUCGGAAUCUACUUUUUCGUGGGGGAUAACGUAGGGAAACUUACGCUAAUACCGCAUACGACCUACGGGUGAAAGCAGGGGAUCUUCGGACCUUGCGCGAUUGAAUGAGCCGAUGUCGGAUUAGCUAGUUGGCGGGGUAAAGGGCCACCAAGGCGACGAUCCGUAGCUGGUCUGAGAGGAUGAUCAGCCACACUGGAACUGAGACACGGUCCAGACUCCUACGGGAGGCAGCAGUGGGGAAUAUUGGACAAUGGGGGCAAGCCUGAUCCAGCCAUACCGCGUGGGUGAAGAAGGCCUUCGGGUUGUAAAGCCCUUUUGUUGGGAAAGAAAAGCAGCAGGUUAAUACCCCGCUGUUCUGACGGUACCCAAAGAAUAAGCACCGGCUAACUUCGUG